rnacentral:rRNA from 1 species
CUUGCUCCCUGGGUGACGAGCGGCGGACGGGUGAGUAAUGUCUGGGAAACUGCCUGAUGGAGGGGGAUAACUACUGGAAACGGUAGCUAAUACCGCAUAACGUCGCAAGACCAAAGAGGGGGACCUUCGGGCCUCUUGCCAUCAGAUGUGCCCAGAUGGGAUUAGCUAGUAGGUGGGGUAAUGGCUCACCUAGGCGACGAUCCCUAGCUGGUCUGAGAGGAUGACCAGCCACACUGGAACUGAGACACGGUCCAGACUCCUACGGGAGGCAGCAGUGGGGAAUAUUGCACAAUGGGCGCAAGCCUGAUGCAGCCAUGCCGCGUGUGUGAAGAAGGCCUUCGGGUUGUAAAGCACUUUCAGCGAGGAGGAAGGUGGUGAGCUUAAUACGCUCAUCAAUUGACGUUACUCGCAGAAGAAGCACCGGCUAACUCCGUGCCAGCGGCCGCGGUAAUACGGAGGGUGCAAGCGUUAAUCGGAAUUACUGGGCGUAAAGCGCACGCAGGCGGUUUGUUAAGUCAGAUGUGAAAUCCCCGGGCUCAACCUGGGAACUGCAUUUGAAACUGGCAAGCUAGAGUCUCGUAGAGGGGGGUAGAAUUCCAGGUGUAGCGGUGAAAUGCGUAGAGAUCUGGAGGAAUACCGGUGGCGAAGGCGGCCCCCUGGACGAAGACUGACGCUCAGGUGCGAAAGCGUGGGGAGCAAACAGGAUUAGAUACCCUGGUAGUCCACGCUGUAAACGAUGUCGAUUUGGAGGUUGUGCCCUUGAGGCGUGGCUUCCGGA